GUCGCAUGUCCGACAAUGACGGUCGACGGUAGUGAGGCAAGGGAUGGCCGACGGCAAGAUUCGACCGGCAAGAAAUCAAAAAAAUCGAAAAAAUAGGGUACCGCCGUUUUUUCUUUUGUUUUCUGUUCAUUGGCCGGUUACCGACGGCCAAGACCCUCAGGGAAGAGGGAUAGAGAGAUGAAAUCCUAUCCUACGGGUGAGACACCGCAGACGGCGGUGCUGGUGGUCGAAAAAGAGAGGAAGAUGGCCCGAUCGAACAGAGCAAAAUGGGGCCUUAUGAUUUUGUGGGUUUCUCGAUGAACCCGACGGCCGACGAGGGUGGACAAAGCCAUGGG
rnacentral:lncRNA from 1 species